GACGAACGCUGGCGGCGUGCUUAACACAUGCAAGUCGAACGGAAAGGCCCUGCUUUUGUGGGGUGCUCGAGUGGCGAACGGGUGAGUAACACGUGAGUAACCUGCCCUUGACUUUGGGAUAACUUCAGGAAACUGGGGCUAAUACCGGAUAGGAGCUCCUGCUGCAUGGUGGGGGUUGGAAAGUUUCGGCGGUUGGGGAUGGACUCGCGGCUUAUCAGCUUGUUGGUGGGGUAGUGGCUUACCAAGGCUUUGACGGGUAUCCGGCCUGAGAGGGUGACCGGCCACAUUGGGACUGAGAUACGGCCCAGACUCCUACGGGAGGCAGCAGUGGGGAAUAUUGCACAAUGGGCGGAAGCCUGAUGCAGCAACGCCGCGUGCGGGAUGACGGCCUUCGGGCUGUAAACCGCUUUCGCCUGUGACGAAGCGUGAGUGACGGUAAUGGGUAAAGAAGCACCGGCUAACUACGUG
rnacentral:rRNA from 1 species